GUGGCAGCAAACCCAAUCUGGGUGUGUCAGUCGUGCUCCCACUGGAGUCUGAGUUGAAGGAAUUUGUGGUGGACCUGCAUGAUUUGGUCUCAAUCAUCAGACCAGGGCCCGAACUGAGCAGACACCAAGUCAGGGGUUUUGUCAGCUGUUUGAUGUGGCGUCUAGCUUCUCAUUGGACAACAAACCAGCAAGCAAGCGCUGGCUUUGAGGUGUUUGAUAGCUCCUGUACAACCGUGAUGGAUCGUUCAUCUUGGUGGCAAAAGCUUUAAUCAGUGUUCCUCGGAUAUCAAAGUGGCGAAUUUUAAACAAUGUGAGACGAGAACUUUAUUGAACAAACAAACAGGCUUGUUUUAUGUCCCC
ensembl:lncRNA